UACGUAGGGGGCUAGCGUUGUCCGGAAUCAUUGGGCGUAAAGAGCGUGUAGGCGGCCAGGUAGGUCCGCUGUGAAAACUCGAGGCUCAACCUCGAGACGUCGGCGGAAACCAUCUGGCUAGAGUCCGGAAGAGGAGAGUGGAAUUCCUGGUGUAGCGGUGAAAUGCGCAGAUAUCAGGAAGAACACCCGUGGCGAAGGCGGCUCUCUGGGACGGUACUGACGCUGAGACGCGAAAGCGUGGGGAGCGAACAGG
rnacentral:rRNA from 1 species